CCCGCUGAACUUAAGCAUAUCAAUAAGCGGAGGAAAAGAAACUAACAAGGAUUCCCCUAGUAACUGCGAGUGAAGCGGGAAAAGCUCAAAUUUGAAAUCUGGCGGUUCUUGACCGUCCGAGUUGUAAUCUAGAGAGGUGUUACCUGUGCUGGACCGUGUAAAAGUCUUCUGGAAUGGAGCAUCAUAGAGGGUGAGAAUCCCGUCUUUGACACGGACUACCUGUACAUUAUGGUGCGCUCUCAAAGAGUCGAGUUGUUUGGGAAUGCAGCUCAAAAUGGGUGGUAAAUGCCAUCUAAAGCUAAAUAUUGGCGAGAGACCGAUAGCGAACAAGUACCGUGAGGGAAAGAUGAAAAGCACUUUGGAAAGAGAGUUAAACAGUACGUGAAAUUGCUGAAAGGGAAACGCUUGAAGUCAGUCACGUCUGCCAGGACUCAGCCUUGCUUCUGCUUGGUGCACUUUCUGGUUUGAUGGGCCAACAUCGAUUUUGACCGCUGGAGAAAGGCUUUGGGAAUGUGGCACCUUUGGGUGUGUUAUAGCCCUUUGUCGUAUGCAACGGUUGGGAUUGAGGACCGCAGCACGCCUUCAUGGCCGGGGUUUUGCCCACGUACGUGCUUAGGAUGUUGGCAUAAUGGCCUUAAGCGACCCGUCUUGAAAC
rnacentral:rRNA from 1 species